rnacentral:siRNA from 1 species
ACCAUAUUUGUUCUGGAUCCUA